rnacentral:lncRNA from 1 species
UAACGCAAUGUUUAUUGAUUCAAAAGCUUUCAAGUUAAAGAAUUUAUCUAAUAUUUGGAGAUCACCCCCAAAUAAAAGGGAAUUCCCCCCUGCCCAGGCAUGAGAUGCAACCUCUAUGUCAACAAAAACAUCUAAAUAAUAAAAGCCUCCAUAUGAUAAGCAAAUCAUGUAGAAUCGUGAGCCUUCAUGUCAUGCAUGUUACGCCAUAAUCACCAUCAUCAUAUGCGGCACUACAACC